rnacentral:rRNA from 1 species
UUGCUGACGACCGGCGCACGGGUGCGUAACGCGUAUGCAAUCUACCUUAUACUGGAGGAUAGCCCAGAGAAAUUUGGAUUAACACUUCAUAGUAUGUUUACCUCGCAUGGGGAAAACAUUAAAGGUUACGGUAUAAGAUGAGCAUGCGUCCUAUUAGCUAGAUGGUGUGGUAACGGCACACCAUGGCAUCGAUAGGUAGGGGCCCUGAGAGGGGGAUCCCCCACACUGGUACUGAGACACGGACCAGACUCCUACGGGAGGCAGCAGUGAGGAAUAUUGGACAAUGGAGGCAACUCUGAUCCAGCCAUGCCGCGUGCAGGAAGACUGCCCUAUGGGUUGUAAACUGCUUUUAUACGGGAAGAAACGGCUCUACGUGUAGAGCUUUGACGGUACCGUAAGAAUAAGGAUCGGCUAACUCCGUGCCAGCAGCCGCGGUAAUACGGAGGAUCCAAGCGUUAUCCGGAAUCAUUGGGUUUAAAGGGUCCGUAGGUGGAUAAUUAAGUCAGAGGUGAAAGUCUGCGGCUCAACCGUAGAAUUGCCUUUGAAACUGGUUAUCUUGAAUUAUUAUGAAGUAGUUAGAAUAUGUAGUGUAGCGGUGAAAUGCAUAGAUAUUACAUAGAAUACCAAUUGCGAAGGCAGAUUACUAAUAAUAUAUUGACACUGAUGGACGAAAGCGUGGGGAGCGAACGGGAUUAGAUACCCCGGUAGUCCACGCCGUAAACGAUGGAUACUAGCUGUUCGGACUUCGGUC